rnacentral:rRNA from 1 species
CCCAAGUUGAUAGUCAUCGGCGUUAAGCGUGAUUAGAGUACCAAACAAGUUAGGGUUAAAUUAAUACCUAGUAGUAAUAAGCUUGUCAUUAAGAAAAUCAUAAACGAAAGUUACCCUAAUAAACACUUGAAUACACGACAGCUGGGAACCAAACUGGGAUUAGAUACCCCACUAUGCCCAGCCGUAAACAAUUAACUUACACUAAUAAACGCCAGGGAACUACGAGCUAUGCUUAAAACCCAAAGGACUUGACGGUGUCCCAUACCAACUAGAGGAGCCUGUUCUAUAAUCGAUGAUCCCCGCUAUACCUAACCAUCCCUUGCUUUAUCAGCCUGUAUACCUCCGUCAUAAGCCUACCAUGUGAACGUCAACAGUGGGCCCAAUGGUUUGUAUAACCAAAAUGCCAGGUCAAGGUGCAGCUCACGGAAUGGUAAGUAAUGGGCUACAAUUUCUAAUCUAGAACAAACGGAAAGCUAUGUGAAAUCACAGCCUAAAGGUGGAUUUAGUAGUAAAAAGAAAAUAGAGUGUUCUUUUUAACCCGGCCCUGGGACACGUACACACCGCCCGUCACCCUCUUCAAUAGCUCUCAUUCAUGUAUAUUACACUAUAUCUGCGUUUUAGAAGAGGCAAGUCGUAACAUGGUAAGUGUACUGGAAAGUGCACUUGGUUAA